rnacentral:rRNA from 1 species
GAUGAACGCUAGCGGCAGGCCUAACACAUGCAGUCGAGGGGCAGCACAGAAACAGCAAUGUUUUGGUGGCGACCGGCGGACGGGUGCGUAACGCGUAUGCAACCUACCUUUAACAGGGGGAUAACGGAGAGAAAUUUCCACUAAUACCCCAUAACAUCGAUCAAGGCAUCUUGAUUGGUUGAAAACUCCGGUGGUUAAAGAUGGGCAUGCGUUGUAUUAGGUAGUUGGUGAGGUAAUGGCUCACCAAGCCUACGAUACAUAGGGGGACUGAGAGGUUAGCCCCCCACACUGGUACUGAGACACGGACCAGACUCCUACGGGAGGCAGCAGUGAGGAAUAUUGGUCAAUGGGGGCAACCCUGAACCAGCCAUGCCGCGUGCAGGAAGACGGCUCUAUGAGUUGUAAACUGCUUUUAAACAGGGAUAAAGCACAGUAUGUAUGCUGUGUUGAAGGUACUGUAAGAAUAAGGAUCGGCUAACUCCGUGCCAGCCGCCGCAGUAA